rnacentral:rRNA from 1 species
UGGCUCAGAUUGAACGCUGGCGGCAGGCUUAACACAUGCAAGUCGAGCGGGCAUAGCAAUAUGUCAGCGGCAGACGGGUGAGUAACGCGUGGGAACGUACCUUUUGGUUCGGAACAACUGAGGGAAACUUCAGCUAAUACCGGAUAAGCCCUUACGGGGAAAGAUUUAUCGCCGAAAGAUCGGCCCGCGUCUGAUUAGCUAGUUGGUGAGGUAAUGGCUCACCAAGGCGACGAUCAGUAGCUGGUCUGAGAGGAUGAUCAGCCACACUGGG